rnacentral:rRNA from 1 species
GACGAACCGAGCGAACGUUGUUCGGAAUCACUGGGCUUAAAGGGCGCGUAGGCGGGCUGGACAGUCCGUGGUGAAAUCCCCCGGCCCAACCGGGGAACGGCCUCGGAUACUUUCGGCCUGGAGGGAGGUAGGGGCGUGCGGAACUGUGGGUGGAGCGGUGAAAUGCGUUGAGAUCCACAGGAACUCCGGUGGCGAAGGCGGCACGCUGGACCUCACCUGACGCUGAGGCGCGAAAGCCAGGGGAGCGAACGGG